GAGAAAGACUAACUUCUGCUGAAAGUUGGUCCAGACUUUGAAAACUCUUCCUGCAAACCAAGUAAUAUUUAAUAAGUAGAGUGUCCAAGGCAACAGCAUUGACAUCCAGAGCUCCUGGGGAAGGCCACUGAUUGGUGAGGGGAAGCAACUGAGAAACCUAUUGAGAAGGAUUUAGGAGCAGAAAAAAGUUGAAGUUAGAAUCUUUCUCCAAAAGCAAUAAAAAAGCAACAGCAUUCUAAAGAUUCUUUGUGCCAGCAUGAUGGUAAUUAACAGUCCAACUAUUUUGCAAACCAACUAUGGGAAUGUGAUGUCCUUCCCCCCAAUUUUUUUUUUUUUUUUUUUUCAGUUUGAACACACCCCCACAAUACUUCUACAGAAUGAACUAAAAACCAGACAUGUUAAUUUCAUUAUAUGCUUCCAGGUGAAGUAUAACACGUAGUUAUUCUGUUUUCUACCACCUUACAGUUCCUAGUAAUUUGUUUUUAAAUUACAGAAAAUGUGUUAACUGAGUACCUUACAUGUUCAAAUUAGUUUUGCCUCAUAUUCCCAUGAAGCAGACCAGUUUUCUAAAAUUCUGGAAAUGAGGAAGCUACUAUGCCAAUAUGGGAAGUCAUCUGCCAGAAGUCAGACAGAAAUAAGGAAAGCACAUGGUUCUUCAGGCUCCAAGACAAGAUCAGCCUUUUUUAAAUUGUACAACCUACCCUUAUACUGCUGUAGAACAACUCUAGAAACAAAACUUAUAUUGCUUGUUAACCCAUAACUCCUCCAAUCCAUGAAAUACUAGGCAAUAGUAAAAUGCUGCUUUACAACAAGUUUGACUAUCUGUGGCCUGAAGCAAAUAGCUAAUGUUACAUAUCUCCAUACCGAAUGUACUCAGGAGUUCAAAGCUAAAUGCUAUGUUGUUAUCUGAAAUGCCAAACUGCAUAGCAAAUUAACUAUUCAUGGUACACAUACAUUUAUGUGAAUUCACAAAUGACAUUGUCAACAGGUCUGUUUUUACAAUGCAGUUUUUAUUCCGGUGGUAUCUGAAGUGGUAUCUGACAUUAGACAAGAACCUCAGUAAGGGCACAUAACACCAACCAAAGAGCCAAAAUUUCCCAUAUAACAAGGUAAGACAAUAGCAAGUUCAGUAAGGAUUUUUUGGUAGCUGAGUUUGAGAGAGGAGACAGAUGCACAGCAAUUUUGCAAGAGAAGGUGGUAAAGCACCACAGCAAGCAAAACUAUUUUCAAGAAACUUUUCUCAAGAUGAUGAAUUUCCCCAGCGUUCAUGCAAGUAGACAAUCAACUUUUCUACCCUGGGAUCUCCCCCCUCACCCUCCUCUCUGAGGGGUCUAUACCACUUUGAUAACCCAAAGCUCUCAAUAAUUUCAAAUAUCUUGUAUGGUAUUCACUUCCCCAGGUAAUACCCCUAAUCCCAUGGAGUACAUUGAGCAUUAAACAGGUCUGUUAAAAGCUUGUUGAUUUGAGGAAACUGAAACAGUGACCUAGCAUGUUCUUAUGAGGUUAGCCAGUUACACUACAUCACCUCCUUAUUCAGAAGGACUUCUUGUAUGUUUUCAUAGAAGUUUUGUAACAGGACACAGUUAGCAAAUAUGUACACAGUAACUAAAUGCAAAUUCAUACAUAUAACACACAUGUGUAAAUUCCCAUUUGGACAACUCCUGUAUGUUAUCACCACACAACUCAGCAGCAGUGUUAAGUUAUUAUUAAACAAACAUGCUGAGCAAAGGUGACAAAAACCACACAUCUACACAUAAGUUGCUAAUAGUGGAAUUUUGGCACUUUACGUAGGUUUCUAUAUUGAGGCUUUUUCCACAAAUCUUUAUGCUAUAGUAACCUGAAAUGUAACCUUUUCUGUGUGGACAAAGAAAUUCUGCAGCAAAGACUAGCCAAACUGCUCCAGGGAUUUUAGCAUAACAAUAUUUAAAGACAGUUCCAGUAGAUCACUACUUAAACCACUCCACCAUGCUCAGGAAGAAAACCAGGCAUCAAGUAGGAUA